UACCCAGCGUGAGUAUGUCUCAUGGAUUCCAGGCUACAAACAAACAAGCAAGUCGUCUCGGGUGAAUUCAUAGGAGGACUGAUCUGUUCAAUGGACUCAAGUUUUGAUGCCUCCUGAAAUUUGCCAAGCGACAUUUCUAAAUAAUCCAGGAUUGCUGUAUCAUCA